CGAGAAACAUGGAUCACUGGCAGCUUCUAAAGCAGGCGGCGCUUACCUUGCGAGGUGCUUCAGACGUGAAUCAGCAUUCGCUGCUGAGGGAGCACUGGGGCGAGGUGUGAGACAGCAAUUAUUUUAGUUUCAGUUGUGGGACGAGGACAGCUACAAUUGGACGUGAAGCUAGCCUCAAGCAGUGAUACAUCAAUGUAAACUAUAUUUGGCAAAGGAACACAUUCAAAAUCGCUUCAAUGCACAAAGGACACCUUGAUGUCCUUACCCUAUCACAAAGUGACUUUGUUUUAAAAUUUCAGAAACAAUAGCUCAAAUUAUCUGUAGUAUGUGAGGUAACACCAUAGUAAAUUUUUGUUGGUAUGAAGCCAAUAGUUACACCAUGAAAAGUGAUUCUUAGCUCCUUUUCUACUCCAACUGCAGAAUUUUCAUUUUAUGUGGAUGCUCAGAGUACAGCAUAAAUCCAGAGGCAAGGUUCAACA